UACGAAGGGGGCUAGCGUUGUUCGGAAUUACUGGGCGUAAAGGGCUCGUAGGCGGCCAACUAAGUCGGACGUGAAAUCCCUCAGCUUAACUGGGGAACUGCGUCCGAUACUGGAUGGCUUGGAUUUGGGAGAGGGAUGCGGAAUUCCAGGUGUAGCGGUGAAAUGCGUAGAUAUCAGGAGGAACACCGGUGGCGAAGGCGGAUCUCUGGGCCGAUACUGACGCUGAGGAGCGAAAGCGUGGGGAGCGAACAGG
rnacentral:rRNA from 1 species